rnacentral:rRNA from 1 species
AACGAACGCUGGCGGCAGGCCUAACACAUGCAAGUCGAACGAUAAGCCACCUUCGGGUGGUGGACAGUGGCAGACGGGUGAGUAACGCGUGGGAACGUGCCUUUCGGUUCGGGAUAACCCAGGGAAACUUGGGCUAAUACCGGAUACGCCCUUCGGGGGAAAGAUUCAUUGCCGAAAGAUCGGCCCGCGUCGGAUUAGCUUGUUGGUGGGGUAAUGGCCUACCAAGGCGACGAUCCGUAGCUGGUCUGAGAGGAUGACCAGCCACACUGGGACUGAGACACGGCCCAGACUCCUACGGGAGGCAGCAGUGGGGAAUAUUGGACAAUGGGCGAAAGCCUGAUCGAGGGAUGCCGCGUGCAGGAAGAAGGGCUUCGGUCUGUAAACUGCUUUUGUGUGGGAAGAACUUUGACGGUACCACAAGAAUAAGGGGUUGCUAACCUCGUGCCAGCAGCCGCAGUAA